rnacentral:rRNA from 1 species
UACCAGCACCCCGAGUGGUCGGGACGUUUUAUUGGGCCUAAAGCAUCCGUAGCCGGUUCUACGAGCUUCCGUUAAAUCCAACUGCUUAACAGGUGGCUGCGGAAGAUACUAUAGAGCUAGGAGGCGGGAGAGGCAAGCGGUACUCGAUGGGUAGGGGUAAAAUCCGUUGAUCCAUUGAAGACCACCAGUGGCGAAGGCGGCUGCCAGAACGCGCUCGACGGUGAGGGAUGAAAGCUGGGGGAGCAAACCGGAUUAGAUGACCCGA